AAAUUAAAUGAAAUCUUGGAGAAGGAGCCCAAAGCCUUGAAAAGACAAGUCCCAGCUGGUGCACGGGGAGAGCGGGCCAAACACAGCCCUGGGGGUUUGGUUGCAAUGCCCAGGGGAGAAGAGGAGGAGAAGCAGGACAGCUGAAAGGGCUAGGCGAUUACACCAGCGUCUGGGCUUUAUCCGGUGCUACGGCUGGGCCUCAAAACCCAGGGCACCAAAAAGCAGCAGCACAAGCCGUCGCGACGCACUAUCGUGGGAAUCGGCGCAGCGAGUCCAGAGUCAUCUAGUCCUUCCUUAAUAAACACGUGGUUGCAGAGCAGAGGAGGCUGAUCCGGGUGUAAAUCCAGAGCGUCUGCAUUGAGUUUACUCUGGAUUGCCACCAGCAGGGCUGAGAGCAGAACCCGGCUCAACCCCCGUUGCAGAAACUUUGGGUGCAGGAUUGAUUUCAGGACAUUCUGAGAUUCCUAUCUUCCUUUGCCAAUGCUUCCUCCUUCCCUCACUUUCCCCCCUCCCCCAACGUUGUUAUAACCAAGGACAAAGGAAGAAAUGAGGAAAAGAAGCAGAUAAAUAAAAUGGGGGCGGGGGGGGAGAGGUACCUAUAAAUCAAUUUAAAAUAAAAGGAAGGAAAGACAAAGCGAUGGAGGGGGAAGGGGAUGAAGGAAACAGAGGAGCGCCCCACACAAUGGAAACCAAGCCAGACAGCUCCAAGUUCAUUAGAUUCUCCAAUAAUAUUGAAAUGACAUGAAAAGCAUAAAGGCCGCUCGGCGGGGGAGGAAAGGCUGGGGGAAAGCUGCGUAGCGGGAGAAACUGUGUCAUUAAAGGAGCCAUCAAUAGGGAA